rnacentral:rRNA from 1 species
UACGUAGGGGGCUAGCGUUGUCCGGAUUUAUUGGGCGUAAAGAGCGUGUAGGCGGCCAGGUAGGUCUGCUGUGAAAACUCGAGGCUCAACCUCGAGACGUCGGCGGAAACCAUCUGGCUAGAGUCCGGAAGAGGAGAGUGGAAUUCCUGGUGUAGCGGUGAAAUGCGUAGAGAUCCGGAGGAACACCAGUGGCGAAGGCGACACGCUGGGCCGUACCUGACACUGAUGCGCGACAGCAUGGGGAGCAAACAGG